rnacentral:misc_RNA from 1 species
UCUCCGUUGGUGAACCAGCGGAGGGAUCAUUACAGGACUCGCAAGACUCCUUCACCCUGUGAACCUCACUACAAGCACGUUGCUUCGGCGGGUGUCCCGGCGGGGGUUUUCCCUCGCCGGGGCGCACAGCCCGCCGGCAGCCUACUAUACUCUGUCUCUUUGCGUUGGCAUCUCGAGAAAAAACAAACAAGUUGAAACUUUCAACAACGGAUCUCCUGGUUCUG